UCUAGACACAGUUGUGCAAUGUCCAGAGGGAGAACUGCAGAACGGAAGGAGGUUGUUCACACGGUCUCUCUCCAUGAAAUUGAUGUCAUCAACAGCCGCACUCAGGGAUUCCUGGCCUUAUUUUCAGGUGACACAGGAGAGAUUAAGUCAGAGGUUCGAGAACAGAUCAAUGCUAAAGUGUCUGAGUGGAGAGAGGAAGGCAAAGCUGAGAUCAUUCCUGGGGUAAGCAGCCCAGUCAAAUAAGACCUUUAAAGUGUUUAAAGAAGAGUUUAAAUAAAAAGAGUGCAGUGACUUUAAAUUAACUCUCUACUGCAUGUUUUUUUUAAAAACCAAUGUUAUGAAUCAAUAAAAUGCUGUAAAAUUGUCAACCAGUUUGUAUAGAAAUACAAAAAAAAGUAUUUGUUUAAAAAUAAAAAUUUCUUUAAAAAAAAACAUAAAAGUGCAUAAAAAUCUCUGUACAUGAAAGAGUACCAGGACUCCUUCCUCUUCAAUGAAACACAAUCCUCUCAGAUGGAGACCUCAUAAUGAAAGAAGCUGUGAAGAGACGAGUAUAAGAGGGGAGAACUCCCUGAGGAGGGUGUGCUGCAGUUUCUGUGAUGUAGUAAGCAGCUAUCAUCAUCUACUCUCCCUAGAAACAGGCAUCUUCAUAACACUCUGGGAACUGCAGCAUCCGUCUUCACUGAGCACACCCUGUUCUCUCUCCGUCUCUGUUUGCUGUUCUUUACCUUCUCUUCUCAUUAGUGGUGCUUGCCAGAGUGUACAGACUGGGUUAGGUUUGAACGACCUCUGUCCCUAAGUUUUAACUUUGACUAUGAUCCAUACUUAAGAGCUAGUGCUACUGAGGAGGGUGUGCUGCUAGUUUCUGUGAUGUAGUAAGCAGCUAUCAUCAUCUACUCUCCCUAGAAACAGGCAUCUUCAUAACACUCUGGGAACUGCAGCAUCCGUCUUCACUGAGCACACCCUGUUCUCUCUCCGUCUCUGUUUGCUGUUCUUUACCUUCUCUUCUCAUUAGUGGUGCUUGCCAGAGUGUACAGACUGGGUUAGGGUUUUGAACGAACCUCUGUCCCCAAGUUUUAAACUUUUGACAUGAUCCAUACUUAAGAGCUAGUGCUACAGAUAUGAAUAUUGCCUCAAAUUAUGCGGCUUAAUAGGGAGAGGGAGAGAUCUGACACAUCUGGUGUUCAGAAAUAAAAACUGCAUUAAAACCCACAUAUUUACACUGAUGAAGGUAUCCAAGCCUUAUCUAGAGACUUGACUUGAGCUUGUAAGAAACCUCAAAGAACACCCUGGCAACAGCAUAUCAAUAUGCAAAAAAUGCUCUGAAUGCUAUAGAAACUGCAUAGCUAUGUCCAAGCAACUUCCCAGAACACCCUGCUGUAGGUUGGACAAGCCCUAAGUCUGAAAAUGUAAAUAUCAUUUAUUUUUUGAUUCUUAAAGUUGUAUUAUUUUAUAAACUUUAUAUUAUUUGUGGCAAGUAUGCAGAGAUAAUUUUUCCUUUCACUGCAUCUGUCAGGGUCUCUUUCUCUUCUCCCUUCUUUCUAAUAAUGCCGUUUUCUCUGUCUGGCUCCACAGCCUCGCUCCACUCCCUCUUCAUGCAGGCUGCUUGCUAUGUUUCGAUGCUGUCAUAUCCAAAAUAUACUUCUACAUAUGUGUGCUGUUCUGAAAAAUACACACUCUGCUGUGUAGCAAAACAUUCACACACAUGGACACCACGCACUGGCAGAUACACAAACAUCCAGGUGUGUGCCUGUGAUCGUUCCCUCAGGGGUUGCAAUGUUUGAGCUUCAUUCAUGCUCGCACACAGCUUGGCGUGUUAUAUUUAGCAGGGAAAAGUAAACACUGCUCUGGUUCAGAUAAAAAGUGUGAUUUAGCCACUUAGUGUGGAAAUCUGUUUGUAGCACAUCACAGGACUGUGCUUCUCUUUUGUAGAUAUUAUAUUUACGACACUGUGAAAAAGUCACUGUGUGUGUAUAUAAUGUUUGAAUAAAAAAACAACUUAUUGGACUCUAAAACCAUUGAUAUUGACAUGUCCAUUUUUAUUCUUGGUAAAUGUUUUUUUUUCUUUCUUUUCUCCAAAGAUAGGCCUCAUAUAAUGUACAGUAGAAGCCCAUUUAUGCCACAUAAGAAAAAGACUGAAAGGGGAAAAGGUUGAAAUUAUGACAUACUAAUUCAAAAUUAUUAGAUAAAAAUCUGAAAUUGUGAGACAAAAAGUCAUAUUUAUGAUAUAAAAAUGUAAUCAUGGCACUUUAUAUCCUAUUUAAUUAGUCAUAUAUAUAUAUAUAUAUAUUUUUUCACUUUAUUCCAAUUUCACCCUAUUUUUGUUCCCCCAAUAAAAAUAACUUUGUUUGAAAAGGUUUGUACAAAACCAUAAGACUUUAUUUGUC
rnacentral:lncRNA from 1 species